ACUGUAGCUAAGGGAACCGUUUUGAGCACGGAUCCAUUGACAAAAGUAGGGGGCAAAAACUUGGAGUUGGUUUCUGGAAAGUACCUGUUCAAGUGGCAAUGGUACGUGAUGAGGAUUUGAUAAGGACCCAUGGAUGAUAUAAAACAAUUGGGAAUGCAAUUGGAUUGAGUGUUGCUUGGCCCACUACUUUAUGUAUGGUUGUAGACAGAAAUGGAUGAUGACUACAUGGGAGAAGUUUUUAUUAAGUAUUUGGAACUAUACACA